rnacentral:ribozyme from 21 species
AAGCACUCUGAAAACCAUAUAUACGAGCAUUAUUUGCCCUAAAACGGUAACGUAAAAAACCCAGUUAAAAGGAAAUUUCAUAGCCGCCAUUAUGGUCAGGGAAAUUAGGGCCAAAGUCGUUGCGGCUACCCAGAACAUAGCUGUAUUUUUCAUCUUUUUUUUUUUUUUUUUUUUU